rnacentral:misc_RNA from 1 species
AGUGUACCACCAUCCAAUGCAUGCACCACAGAUGUUCAGCGACGAGAAUCCCAACUCGUGUUCCGUGAUGUGAGCAGAAGAAGAUAAUCGGACGGUGGAGAAUGGACGGGUAAAAUAACCGGCAGUGAUGUAAAUAAGUAACAGGGAGAGAAGUGAAUACAAAAAAAUUACGAAUGAAUUAAGAAUUUUGUUUUAGGUUAGUAGAGUCAUUAAGCUGUACCCGGCCGGCUGAAAAUGCCGGUUCAGUUGGUUUUGUUCUUUAAUCAAUUUAUUAAUGAUAUGAUUAAGAAAACUAAGUAAAAUUUUUCGUAUUUUAAUAAUGAUAAUGAUAUUCAUAUAUAUUAAAAUUUAUCAUAUAUGUUGGAUAUUGACCUGUUUGGUUGGUAGUGAAAUAUACCUUCUCCCAACUGACAAAAAGCCUUGUUCAAGGGUUUUGCUGGUACAGGUUU